rnacentral:rRNA from 1 species
AUUGAACGCUGGCGGCAUGCCUUACACAUGCAAGUCGAACGGCAGCACGGGUGCUUGCACCUGGUGGCGAGUGGCGAACGGGUGAGUAAUACAUCGGAACAUGUCCUGUAGUGGGGGAUAGCCCGGCGAAAGCCGGAUUAAUACCGCAUACGAUCCACGGAUGAAAGCGGGGGACCUUCGGGCCUCGCGCUAUAGGGUUGGCCGAUGGCUGAUUAGCUAGUUGGUGGGGUAAAGGCCUACCAAGGCGACGAUCAGUAGCUGGUCUGAGAGGACGACCAGCCACACUGGGACUGAGACACGGCCCAGACUCCUACGGGAGGCAGCAGUGGGGAAUUUUGGACAAUGGGCGAAAGCCUGAUCCAGCAAUGCCGCGUGUGUGAAGAAGGCCUUCGGGUUGUAAAGCACUUUUGUCCAGAAAGAAAUCCUUGACUCUAAUACAGUCGGGGGAUGACGGUACCGGAAGAAUAAGCACCGGCUAACUACGUG